AUCCCUCAAGACAUGAAGUUUGACACUUCAAAAAAAAGCAAUGUCAGUCAAGAGAUGCCAGAUGGCAACAGACAUUCUGGAGUACUCAGUCUUUGAUGAAAACAAUGACUGUUCACUGUGCGGAAUAGACAAGCCCCCUGGAUGUGGACCAAAUACAAUAUGGAUCCAGUGUGACUCUUGUCAAAGAUGGUUCCAUCAGGUAUGCCUUGGCAUGACUACACCUGUCCUGAACAAAGUAAAGAGAAGAAGAUGGAAGUGUUGUCUUUGUCACUGACCGUCUUCUGAAACCCCAGGAUUUUGACACCAAUGUUGAUGAGGUGGCUGCUAUAUGUCUGCUGCUAUUAUUUUUCUUGCAUCCAAAUAAUUUAUUUUAUUCAUUUGCUUAUUUCUUUAGUCUCAAUCCCUUUUUGCACAACCUUUUCUUUGUAUUGCUUAGAACAUGUAUUUAAAUAUUAUGGGGGAAAUAACAAU